rnacentral:rRNA from 1 species
UCAAAUGUUUUUUAAAGACUUAGGUUUCUUUAUGAAAUUGGCCCCUGCUCUAUGUUUUUAUAAAUGGCAGUCUUAGCGUGAGGACAUUAAGGUAGCAAAAUAAUUUGUGCUUUUAAUGGGUUCGAGUAUGAAUGGGGUUAUUGGUUAAUUUUUUACUUUAUUUUGAAUGAACUAAAUUUUUAUUUAAAAAGGUAAUAUGUAUAAUUAAACAAAGAUAAGUCUUCGGAAAUUUUUUUAUUAUCUUUUCUUUUGUGGAGGUAAUAUGUUUUCUAGGGUAGGAUAUUGUGUAAUUUUUUUUACUAUUUAUAUUUAAAAAAAUUACUUCGGAGUUAACAGAAAAUCAUGUCGUAACCAGAUUCGUAUGGUAGUGAUAAGUUUUACAUCGAUGUUGUAUUCCAAUUGUGCAAGAGAGGAGAAGGCUUGUUUUUUAAGACUGUUCUUCUAUUAAUUAAAUUGGACGUGAUAUUAGUUUAAUUCAUC